rnacentral:rRNA from 1 species
UACGUAGGGUGCAAGCGUUAAUCGGAAUUACUGGGCGUAAAGCGUGCGCAGGCGGUUUUGUAAGUCUGAUGUGAAAGCCCCGGGCUCAACCUGGGAAUUGCAUUGGAGACUGCAAGGCUAGAAUCUGGCAGAGGGGGGUAGAAUUCCACGUGUAGCAGUGAAAUGCGUAGAGAUGUGGAGGAACACCGAUGGCGAAGGCAGCCCCCUGGGUCAAGAUUGACGCUCAUGCACGAAAGCGUGGGGAGCAAACAGG